CAUGCCACAUAAAAAAAAAAAAAAGUCACAGGUUUAUUAAUUUCAUUUUCUAGUUUGCAGCUAAAUUGUGUAAAUGUAAUUUAUUUUCUUUAUCCAGUCAGUGACAUAAGUGAAACAACAUGAAACCUACAAUGGUGAGGUGAAUUCAGAAGACUUCUGGGAGACUCUUUCAAUGGAGAGGAUUGCAGCUGGCUUGUUGAAAACUGGGGACAGAAAUCCUUACAAUAUAAACCCCAAUUUUGAAUACUGGGCCCCCUGGAUCGGCAGAUACACACACAAGGCACCAAUUGUGUUAAACAGAGUGGCAAAAGGUGCAGAGCACAAGUGCACAAGACCUCAUCACUGAAAUGGACAUAACAGAGGAAAGACUGAAGACUGAAUUAAUUAAGCUAAAGACAUUUUAAAACUUUGCAAGGCCUGUGGAUUUGGCAUUCAAGGAUCAAAGACUGAUCUUCUAUCCAGACUGAGAGGACAGAUGCAAACCAGAACUGCAUAUGACACAAUAUUUCAGAAAGUUUGGGGAGCAUCAGGUGGAUGGGCAGUCAUUUUAUGCCCUUGUGGUGUGGUACAGUGUGAAAUGUCUCAUCCGUGCUGAAAGUCCUUGAGACUUUUCUGACAUGUUGUUCUCUUGGAAACACAUGCCAAACAUCUGCAUUUAUGAUUUUGCCAGAGGACUGGCCACCCAUGCCAAUGUUCGGAGACCA